UAUACGUCAAAAUCUUGAUAACUAAAAGCGAGAUUUGACAAUGAGCAGUUAUUCACAUGGUUUCAGAGCACGUGUUACACUCAGACGCAUUAUAUUUUAAGAUAUUGCUUCACACAGUUAUUUUUAGAACUGUAUAUACGAUCACAAUCAUCUGCAACAACAUAGUCUUUGAAAGGAUGCUGCUUCGCCUUUAGGUCGGGCCUGCGUCCGCGCGCGCUAGAGCUCGGCUCUUGUAAUUGGCUCAGCGCUGUGCUGUUUUCCAUGCGCCACUGGGCGAGUCUCGGCUGUCUCAGUAACCCCCUUUUAUCCUCAAAAAAGGAGAGCGAAAGAGGGCAGGCUCGGGCGUAGGGACCGCCAUUAUUGGGAGGCUUGGACAACCACUUUCACCCUCACGCACAAUAUAUAUAUAUCGUAACGUUUAAAGACAUGCGUGGGCCAGAUUGCUCGUGAUUUGGCUACGAAAAACUGGAUGUUUUGUCUCAGUGUAAAGGCAUCGCUGCAUGCGGUAAAUCAGCAUUUUAUGGCCACAACAAAGGGCAUCAUAACAGAUCAAAACCAACGUGCUUAGGCCGGAGGAAGAAAUUAAAACAAGCCUUUUUCUGCACGGAAACGACUGGCCUCCGAGAAAGGACAUUCUUUGUUUGGAUAUGUUUAGCCGUCGGUGGAUUUUCACAGCCGUUUCUAUGCGAACGCGAGAUCAGUAAGUUGCGCCUGACAAAAAUAUCCCUUGGAAACUGCAAGUCUGUCAAGCCACAAUCAAACUGCCCCCACGGAAUUUAAUGUCCUCGGCUUUUUACGUAGUCUUUUGUUUUCCUUUCUUUAUGGUUUCCAACAACACUGACCGAGCCGGUUGUAAGCCCUCUUGUGCUGGCCUGGAAGAGGGGUUGAGAAGGGAAAGGGAGGACGGAGAAAGACACUGCAGCACAGAGACAGCUGAGCCGCUCAUAGGAAGGCAGUUCUGAACCAUGACAUCCCCAUUACGUAGCUUUCUUGCUUAGGCUAUGCUGGGCCUAGGCUUUGGGAGUGAAAUACUUUAGCAGUUGCUUUUUUUAGGGUUCAGAACUUCACAUGUGUAUUUUGCUUGAAGAGUGUGCGUAGGAUGUCUUUAUUUUGCCAUGCACAUACAACCACAACCGUGCUUGAUGUAUAUUCAAGCCAUAUAUUUCUCAGUGUAUAACAACUCAGUAGGCUACAGCAAGUACAGGGAAGUCAGAACAUCAGGUUGUGUCUUGGUUUGUGUUGAAGGUAAGUCUAAACAGCUGGUAGACUCAGAUAUCUGAGUCGUUAGCACCCACUUGGACUGCACCUGACCCGACUGUGGAUCGCCUACUUUGAGCUCUGUAGCCAGACAGAGUCUGUAUUUGUGUUUUUAAGUCUACAACACCAGAUAUUGCAUGAGGAUUCACCAGCAACACAUUUCCUUCAUGUGGUACUGUACCACUAAAAGUAAGCAGGAGUAAUACAUCGUCCAGGAAUAGCUGUAGAAAACGCUAAAUGUUUAACGCAAAUAACGCAAAAAUUUUGUUAUUUAUUGUAUUUGGUACAGCACUAAUUAAGUGAUGAAUAAAGAUUUUUUUAAUACUGUAUUAUGCAUUCAUAACAAUACAACAAUGUAAAU
ensembl:lncRNA